GCACAGAUGACUCUAAUGACAAGCACAGAUGACUCUCGGGCCCAGCAAUUGAAGGAAGUGGUGCCUGCCACUGCUAACAAUACAAGGAAACCAGCUUAUGCAUGCUUGCGCUCUCUAUGGCCAAAGAAGUCAGCACUGCACCAUGUGCAGGGAAAUCUGAGCUGCUCAUUACUUCUAAUACACCAUAGCCAUGCCCCUGACAGAGUAAUGGAGAAGGAAGAAAGUCUGGCAAGCCUGAAGCAUCGUUUUAAGAUCUAAGGUGAAGAUAUAGAACUCAGCUCCUCCUGCACCAUGCCUGCCUGGAUGCUGCCAUACCCCAGCCUUGAUGAUAAUGGACUGAACCUCUGAACCUAACAAUGGAAAUUUUUGAAGUAACAACUGAAUUGAUGUCUGAAUGAGGAGAAGAACCUAAACAUAGAUAUUCAGGGAAGAGUCUUCCAAGCCGAAGAAAGAGCAAACAUAGGAACCCAGAGACGGCAACAAGCAAAAGACAAGGCCUCCUGGAAACAGAAUGUGGGACCAAGAGCCUGGCCUGUGAUGAGAUCAGAAACAUUGGCAGAGUCCAAGAGAGAUCCUAUGCCUGAAGAAGUUUCCCUCCAAGACGGAAGUCUUUAACCUUAGAGGAAACUGUUCCCAACAGGACCCUGGUUGGAGGCUGGUAGGUAUCACAGGCGAGGACAGUAAAGGCACACAGCGGGUAAGAAGAGAGGAAGUUGCAGACAAACACAAAGGUCUAGAGUAUACUUUAGAGUUAUUGUGGCAGCAUCUAUUAGAUUUAUGGAAUAUAAAUGGCAAAGAGAAGUCAAAGAUGCUGCAAAGGCUUGGGGACUGUCUUAGUUGACGUUCUAUUGUUAUGAAGAGACAUUAUGACCAUGGCAACUCUUAUAAAGAAAAGCACUUAAUUGGGGCCGGCUUACAGAGGUUUAGGCCAUUGUCAUCGAGGUGACAUCCAGGCAGACAUAGUGCUGGAGAGGUAGCUGAGAGUUCUACAUCUGGAUCUACAGACCAUAGGUAGAGAGAGAGAGACACUUGGCUUGGCUUGAGUAUUUGAAACCCUGAAGCCCAUCCCCAGUUACACACUUCCUCCCACCUCCUAAUCCCUGUCAAGUAGCACCACUUCAUAAUGACCAAAACAUUCAGAUCUAUGAGCCAUUGGGGGCCAUUUCUAGUCAACUCACCACAGAGGCAAACAAGUACUUCUGUGGAAUGGUGAGCGCAACGUUAGAUGUAGCAAGUUUAGACUGCACAGAUGACACGCGCUUCUUUAAAUGCUUUCUAAUCUGCCUCUACUUGUUUCCAGUUCCUUCCUGUUUGGGGAAUCUGGAAACUCCAAAUUCCUGCCUGUGAUUCUUGGGCAAAUACCUCACAUUUUCUUUAUGGUUGAUGACAAUGAAAUAUACUUGUCAAGAUGCCUACCUUGGUUUGGGUUUUGUUGCCCAUCUCGAUGAAGAGACACCAUAACCAAAGCGACUCUUAACAAAAUUUAAAAAUUUGCAAGUGGGUCUGGCUUCCAGUUUCAGAGGUUUAGCCCACUGUCAUCGUGGUGGGACACAUGGCAGCGUGCAGGCUGGAGGGGCCAAGAGUUUUAAUAUCUUAAUCCUCAGACAGAAGAAUGAGACUGCAUGCCACACUAGGCAUCACUUGAGCAUAGGAGACCUCAGAGCCCACCCAUACAGUAACCCACUUCCUCCCAGGUCAUACCUAAUCCAGCAAAGUCAUGCCUUCUAAUACCGCCCCUCUCUAUGGGCCAAGCAUUCAAACGCAUGGGUCUAUGGGAGCCAUACCUAUUCAAACCACCACAAUGCCUGAGUCUCACUGGAGAUGCCUCUCACUAGAUCCUUGCAUUUGUUUUCCUUUAUGAAAACCACAGUGCAUUUGCCUCACAGAUGGAGACAGAGGGGAUGAAGGAGACCCAGAAGCCACUGGGACAUAAUCUCUGACAUGCAACCUUCAGCGAGCACUAGCAAUCUUGAAGAGUCAGCACUGAGGCUUCUCUUUUACUAGGUUGAAGGAGGCAGUGGGUAAAGGAAGGGGUUGCAUGAAAGGAGGAACUGGGAGUAAAGGAGGAAGCCUCUAAGUCUGGCUGCCAGGAGAGAGGAGGGGACCAGUAUCUCCUAGCAAUCUGAUUAGAAAACCCACAGGAGCAGCUUAGAUGACAAAGGAGUUGAGGGCAUUUACUUAGGAGCCAGGAAUCACAAGAAGAAUGAAUUCUCCCUUGACUUGAUAAGGAUGCAGCUUACACCUGCAUGAAGAAGAGGUUCCCAGAUAAACAGGUAAGAGAAGGCCUAGGCAGGAGGCAGGAAGUGGAUAUCAAGGACUAAACCAAGUGUGCACAGACUAUACUUUGGAUGUAUUCUCAAAAGGACAAAUUAAAGGCUUGAUCCCCCUUGGGAGAUGGUAGAGCCUGAAGGGAGGGCUUGGGUUACUAUAGUGUGCCCUUAAAGGAGGUUGUAUGAUUCUGAUCUGUUCUCUCUUUUCUCUAGAUUAGAGAUAAGUAAACGUAUUGACAUUUUUGCAAACUUGGAAAAGAGACAGCCCAAAACUAUGAGCCAAAAGUAGGCCAAAACUAUGAGUCAAAACAACUUUUCCCCCUUGUAAGUUUGUUAUCUGAGGUGUUUUGUUGUAGUAUAGGAAAGCUGUUGAUUCAAAUUAAAACAGCCUCCAAGCCUACAAAUAUUCAAGGCUGUAUAUAGCCUACUGUCCUAUCCCCGGGUUCUGUGUUUGGAUCCAUGAAGCACAGAAGAAUAUUUUUUAAAAAAUGUGUAGGGUUGGGGAUUUAGC